rnacentral:pre_miRNA from 1 species
UGUCGACUUCCCUGUCUGGAAGACUAGUGAUUUUGUUGUUCUGUAUUUGAGUAACAAGAAAUCUCUAUCUUCUGACAGUGGGGGACA